rnacentral:rRNA from 1 species
AUUUUUAUGGAGAGUUUGAUCCUGGCUCAGGAUGAACGCUGGCGGCGUGCCUAAUACAUGCAAGUCGAGCGAACGGACGAGAAGCUUGCUUCUCUG